AGGCCAGACUCCUACGGGAGGCAGCAGUGGGGAAUUUUGGACAAUGGGCGCAAGCCUGAUCCAGCUAUUCCGCGUGAGGGAUGACGGCCCUACGGGUUGUAAACCUCUUUUGCCGGGGAGCAAAGAGCGGGACGCGUCCCGCCUCGAGAGUACCCGGAGAAAAAGCAUCGGCUAACUCCGUGCCAGCAGCCGCGGUAAUACGGAGGAUGCGAGCGUUAUCCGGAUUUAUUGGGUUUAAAGGGUGCGUAGGCGGAAUGCCAAGUCAGCGGUAAAAUCGCGGGGCUCAACCUCGCUCCGCCGUUGAAACUGGCGUUCUUGAGUGGGCGAGAAGUAUGCGGAAUGCGUGGUGUAGCGGUGAAAUGCAUAGAUAUCACGCAGAACUCCGAUUGCGAAGGCAGCAUACCGGCGCCCAACUGACGCUGAAGCACGAAAGCGUGGGUAUCGAACAGGAUUAGAUACCCCAGUAA
rnacentral:rRNA from 1 species